UACGUAGGGGGCUAGCGUUGUCCGGAAUCAUUGGGCGUAAAGAGCGCGUAGGCGGCCAGAUAAGUCCGGUGUGAAAGUCACAGGCUCAACCUGUGAAUGCCGCUGGAAACUGUAUGGCUAGAGUCCGGAAGGGGCGAGUGGAAUUCCUGGUGUAGCGGUGAAAUGCGCAGAUAUCAGGAGGAACACCAAUGGCGAAGGCAGCUCGCUGGGACGGUACUGACGCUGAGGCGCGAAAGCGUGGGGAGCGAACAGG
rnacentral:rRNA from 1 species